rnacentral:rRNA from 1 species
UACGAGGGGGGCAAGCGUUGUUCGGAAUUAUUGGGCGUAAAGGGCGCGUAGGCGGUUUGACAAGUCUGAUGUGAAAUCUCUGGGCUCAACCCAGAGUCUGCAUUAGAAACUGUCGGGCUUGAGUAUGGGAGAGGUGAGUGGAAUUUCCGGUGUAGCGGUGAAAUGCGUAGAUAUCGGAAGGGACACCUGUGGCGAAAGCGGCUCACUGGACCAUAACUGACGCUGAGGCGCGAAAGCUAGGGGAGCAAACAGG